GUGCUCGCUUUGGCAGCACAUGUACUGAAAUUGGAACGAUACAGAGAAGAUGAGCUUGGCCCCUGCGCAACGAUGACACGCAAAUUCAUGAAGGGUUCCAUAAAAAC